rnacentral:rRNA from 1 species
AUUGAACGCUGGCGGCAUGCCUUACACAUGCAAGUCGAACGGCAGCGCGGGAGCAAUCCUGGCGGCGAGUGGCGAACGGGUGAGUAAUACAUCGGAACGUGCCCAAUCGUGGGGGAUAACGCAGCGAAAGCUGUGCUAAUACCGCAUACGAUCUACGGAUGAAAGCAGGGGAUCGCAAGACCUUGCGCGAAUGGAGCGGCCGAUGGCAGAUUAGGUAGUUGGUGAGGUAAAGGCUCACCAAGCCUUCGAUCUGUAGCUGGUCUGAGAGGACGACCAGCCACACUGGGACUGAGACACGGCCCAGACUCCUACGGGAGGCAGCAGUGGGGAAUUUUGGCCCCUGGGCGCCCGCCUGCUCCAGCCCUGCCGCGUGCAGGAUGAAGGCCUUCGGGUUGUAAACUGCUUUUGUACGGAACGAAACGGUCUUUUCUAAUACAGAAGGCUAAUGACGGUACCGUACGAAUAAGCACCGGCUAACUACGUG